ACCAUCGGUUUACAAAAUAAGAACGACAUUUCUUGAAGCUUCUGCAAUUCAAAAAAAUAAAUCAAAAAAUUCAACAGAGUUAAUGGAGAAUGGGAAGGCUUCUGAUCUUCCACAAGCCGCUGAUAAUGCUGAUCGAAUGAGAGACAAGGAGAUUUCAUUUAUUUAUUGUAGGAGUAUUCGGCCGCAGAAGUGCGAUAAUUUGAGUCUUUUUUGAAUCGCAUUAGUGUUGAGAAUGAUAAUCUUAUCACAGGACAAGUUACUAUAGAAAGAUGGGAUAGUGAUGUUGAGAAAGAUUUUUGUGAUCCAGAUUAUAAUAUAUUUGAUGAAGAUGAUGACUUUCAGGAGAUUAUAGCGAAAGAAAACGCUAGCAAAAGGAAAGGAAUGCCUAGAAAUGUGGCUUCGACAUCAGGCCAGUUAUCUAAGACUUUGAUUAUAGUACCAUAACAGACUACUGAUGUUGAUUCUGAUUAUGGGGAUUCAGAUGAAUUGCUUGACUAGGUUGAUUCUGAAAAAGAAAAUGAUGAGGUUACAUAUGAAGAGUACAAUUAAACUAAACAUAGAGAUAGGCCAACGUUGGCAUUAGGGAUAAAGUUUGGAGGUUUUGAGGAAUUUAAACAAGCUUGUAGAGACUGGGGUAUUAAACAUAAAAGACAACUUUACCUUCCUACCAGUGAUAAAUUAAGAGUAAUAAGCUCCUGCAAGGAAAAUGGUUGUCCAUUUAGGAUUCAUGCUAGCAAGUUGACUCAAGAUGAUCCUACUGUUCAGAUUAAGUCCAUUAAUUUGACUCAUAUAGGCGGCAACAUGUUUGAUAAUUUUCACAUGUCACCGCAGUAUAUUGCUAAAAGAUAACUUGAUAAUUUUAGAGCCGACCCUGAUUGGAGUGUAAAAGGACUAAUUGCAGUUGUCCUGAAGGAUUGUAGCUACACAAUUUUAUAUAAGAAGGCAUGGAGGGCCAAAAAAAUAGCUUUGAAAUGGGUACAUGGAGAAGAAGGCCUUCAAUAUGGUCAACUUUUAUCAUAUAGAGCUGAGUUGUUGAAUUCUAACCCUGGAUCAACAGUUGUGAUUUGGAGAGAUGGUGAAAAAUUUCAAGGUGUUUAUGUAUGUUUAGGAGCACUGAAAGAAUCAUUUAAGUCGGGAUGUAGACCUAUUAUUAGCCUUGAUGGAUGUUGGCUAAAAAGAACUUUUGGAGGAAAUUUGUUGUCUGCGGUUGCUAUAAAUCCCAAUGACUGUAUUUUUCCUAUUGCAUACACUGUAAUAGCUCAAAAUGAAAGUGAAGAAACUUGGAGUUAGUUCCUGGAAAAUCUUGGACAUGACUUAGAAAUAAGGAACAACCAUCAUAUUGCAUUCAUGUCUGACUGACAAAAGGGCUUAAUAGGAGCAGUGAAGGAAUUAUUUCCAUCGACUGAACAUAGAAAUUGUGUUAGACAUAUGUAUCAGAAUUUUAGAGGAAAAAACAAAGGUAAAACUUUAAAAGAUUUGGUAUGGAAAGCAGCAACGGCCAGUAAUACAGUAAUGUUCAAGAGAUGUAUGGAAGAAAUUAAGCAAGAAGAUAAAGAAGCAAGAGAAUGGUUCAAUCAUUCAGAGAGACCAUUUGAAAGUUAGACUAGAGCACUUUUUAGCACAAAUACUAGAUGUGAUAUGCUGCUCAACAAUUUAUGUGAAAGCUUCAACAGGUACAUUCUUGAUUCCAGAGAUAAACCUAUCAUUACGAUGCUUAAAAUGAUAAAAAAUAAGUUAAUGAAUAGGUUGUACAAAAAGAAAAUUUGGAUUGACAAGUAUCAAAGCAUGAUUUGUCCAAAGAUUGUCAAGAAAUUGAACAAAAUCAACGAUGAGACUUCUAUGUUUAGAUUUGAAUAUUCAGGAGGGCCAAAGUUUAGAGUUAUUGGGCCUGGUGGACCAUAUGUGGUGGAUUUGGUGGAUAAGAGUUUUACUUGUAGGAGAUUUGAUUUAAUUGGAUUGCCAUGUACUCAUGCCUAUGUUUCUAUUAUUGGAAACAAUGAAAAAAUAGAAAAGUAUGUGAAUGUAUUCUAUCAUGUUGAUACUUUUAAGAGUGUUUAUUCACAUUACAUCAACCCAACAAAUCAUGAAGAUCAUUGGCCAAAAGUUGUGGACUGUGCAGAAAUUCUUCCUCCUAAAGUUGUAAAAAAAGGGGGGGGGGGGAUCCCAAGAAUAGGAACAAAGAAGCCGAAGAAUUAGAAAAGGAAAAAAACAACUGCAGCUGCUAAAAAUGCUGAAAAGAGAGCUGGAAAAAGGACUGAAAAUACAGAGGCUCAAAAGUUAUCCAGGAAGGGCUUUGUAAAAGGAAGAUGUUCAAUUUACAAAAAUGACGGUCAUAAUGCUAGAGGUCAUUAUAAAUGGGACAAAAAAAUCUAGUGAGGCAUCUUUAAGUCAACCUGAAGAGGGUACAAAUUCAACUAAACAGAAUGAAAAUGAUGACUUUUGGGAUAACUCUCAGUUAUGGAUUAACUCUCAGAUGAAUUUGAACUUAACUCAGAAAGGUGCACAAAUUAUGAAAUCACUUACUGUUGAAGUACCCGAUGAAACAUUACAUGUUGCUGACGAAUUUUUAUAGAUAUUGAAUGGACUAGGUGGACGUGGUGCUGAUUAUGAGACCUCUUUGCAUGUUACUGAAUUACCUGCUAGACCUUCUGUAUUGAAGAGCGGCGAACAUCUUAAAAGAAAAUCCAUACCCAAUGACGUAAUUACUGCUCAAAAUAAGAGUGCUGCUUAGAAGGAUCCAACUGGUUGAAUCCUUCGUUGGAUACCCACAAUUAGAUCAUUUUAAUGUGAGAGACAUGAGGCAAACUGUCGGUGUUGUUAAAAAUGUUGAUAAGAAGGAUCCAACUGGUGCCAAGUCACCAAGGCUGUCUAGGAGAAGGGAAAGUGUUACAGUGUAAUGAUGGUGUUUUCACCGCUUUCUAUUGUCAUAAAGUGUGUUAUGUAGACUCUAUUUUGUUUAGUUUUGCUAUAUUUUGGUCUUUGAUUUGAUUUCUAUGUUCUAGUUCUCUACCUUGUAUGUCAGUUAACAAUUCUCAGCUGCUUGUGGGAUUUUGUUUAGUCAAUACAUUUCAAAAUUUUCUCA